rnacentral:lncRNA from 1 species
GAACCUCACGGCAGUGCUGGCAGGGUGAGGCGUUGUCCACAUCUCCCAGCUGAAGCUAAUACCCUGAUUCAUUUGUUCUGGGUCAUUCAGUUGGUAAGCUGCUGAGUCAGAACCCAAACUCCUGUCUGACUGCAAAAACCACAUACUUGCCUCCAUGUCAAAAGCCUUAUGGCUGCGAUCCCCAAACCUGGCUCAGAAUCACCGAGGGUGAUGUAAAAACACACAUUCCUUGAAGAUCUGAUCAAAGCAUAAAGUUCAAGGGAGAAGGAGGGAUAGAAAAGAAAGAGAGAGAGAGAAACAGAGAGAGAGAAAACAAUUAGAAAACAAGAAGCUCUACCAUAAGAUUACGGUCUAAACAGAAAUUGCUGUAAAAUGUAGCAUGACUUUAAGUAACUGAUAGAGUAUAAUAAAAGAGGAGCUAUUUGAUCUUGAGGCUAGAAAGAUUCCUUUUUAAAUGCCCAGGUGUUUAUCACGGCCCAGGAGAGCAGGAAGUGUAAUUCUAGUGCUCUGCACGGCCUGUGAACAAUAUGUACAAAGUCUUGACGUGGUGAAUGAAGUGACCUGGCUUUCGAUUGUUGGAAUUACCCUGUGGGAUGAAGCAUGGGAGGCUCACAUGAGGUUGCAGGACGAAGCAAAUCUAGGAGCAUGGACACUGAAAAAGAAGAGGUGUUAGAAGGAUGCAAACACUCUCCUCAUUUAAGCAGCAAGGUAGGAAGUUGUUGGAAAAGUGAUGGAGUGAGAAAAAUGAAUUCUUUAUCAUUACAAAUGUAACCAAAAGAAGAAACAAGAAUUGCACUGUUAGCCAGUUUUGGGCAGUAUGCGAGGAGAGGCUGGGUGGGGUUAAGUGGGCUCAAGCCUCAUCUUUCUCGGCAGGAAACCAAUAGACCUAGUGAGAGUGGAUAAACCACAGUUCGUGGCAGACUGACGCCAACCAGUCAUGGGGGUGACCAAGCUAAGAUGCAAAGUGGGAAAAGAAGUUGCUUCAGCAGAAUGGGAUUCUGGCAGCUGUGGGACCGCAGGAGGGAACUCCUUAAGCACAGGUGUUGGUGGUUUGAAAAUAUAGAUUGAUGGGCCCCACCUUAGACCUAUUUAUUCUCAGAAGUUUGGAACAGGAAUCCCUGUUUUUCACAGCUUCUGUGAUGUUCAAGAACUCACACUUGUCUUGGAAUCGUUGUCUGAUGGCCUUGGGAGGAGCCGUCCUUGCUUUCCCUGCUCCUAUUGGGUCCCGGAGCCCCUGAGCCGCUGACACUUGCUGCCUCUUUGCAGGCCCUUGGGAGAAGGUGGGCCUUGGGCUUGUGUGACAACUUCCCCCUGAGAAAGUCACUUCCUCAUCGUGCUGUCCUUCCCGGUUGCUUCCAGCUCCGGAGGCGGCUGACUCAGACUAAUGAGUGGGCUGGCACAGAACGUCUUCACUUCCUUUCCUGAUCCCUGCCUCACUGACCCGGAAGGUCGCUCUGGUCCACAGCGUAACGUGCUGUCCCUUUCACCUCCUGACUUUUCGGUGACCCCAGCCUCGAUGCUGAGUGUCCUGCGGUCUUCCUGCCCUUCGCGGUGGGGAGAAGAGUUCACGAUGUCUUCGUGGCUGCCCGGAUGUCCAUCAGGUCAGCCCAUCCCAUCUGGAGAUGGAUGAGGACUUAAGGGGACCUCUGAGAUGCAGGAGAGGAGGCCUGGUGGGGAGCCAGAGCCCACAGCCCUGAAACCAGCCCUGAGAGGGGGCUGCCCGUGGGACCCUGGGCGUGCACGUCUCCCCGCUGGCUCUCAGCUUCUUCGUCCUGAUAUGGCCUCACGUUCCUCCAAGCUCAAACAGUCCAACUAUGUAUGUUGUCUCCCUGGCCACCCUUUUCUGAGAGCUGUUCCAAGACAGGGCGCCAGGAAGACCUGGCCUUUUUUAAAAAAAUUAUUUUAUCGAGCGCACAAUGGUUUACUACAUUGUGUAAUUUCAGGUGUACCCUAUUAUUGAUCAGUUUCUGUAUAGACUGCAUCGUGCUCAUCACCAAUAAUCUAAUUUUUAUCCAUCACCAUACAUAAGUGCCCCUUUACCCCUUUCGCCCACACCAGUGCCCCCUUCCCCUCCUGUAACCACCAAUCUGUUCUCUUUAUCCAUGUGUUUGCUGACCUUCCACACACGAGUGAAAGACCUAUACACUGAAAACUAUACGACGCUGUACUGAAAGACAUCGAAGGCCUGGCCUUUUGCUCUCUCUGAUUUCCCAUCCCCACGGACUGGGCCAUCGUGUAGGUGCCCCAAACCAGCUGUGAACUAUGUAAUUAAGUUUAGGAUCUCAAGAUAAGAUCAUUUGGAUUUAGGGUGAGCCUAAAUCCAAGGACUAGCGGCCUUCUAAAAGGAGGAGGAGAUUGGACACAGAGAAGAAGGCAUGUGAAGACAGAGGCGGAGAUCGGAGGCAGCCAUAAGCCAAGGAACACCCCGGGUCCCCAGCAGGAACCAGAAGCUCGGGGAGAGGGUGGAACGGACUCCCCCUCAGAGCCUUCCAGGGAGGGUGGCUCUGCCAACGCCUUCAUUUUGGGCUUCUGGCCUCCAGAACCAUGAGAG